GUUGGAUCAUGGCUCAAAUUGAACGCUGGCGGCAGGCUUAACACAUGCAAGUCGAGGGGAAACGAUAUUGGAAGCUUGCUUCCAAUAGGCGUCAACCGGCGCACGGGUGAGUAACGCGUAUCCAACCUGCCCACCACUUGGGGAUAACCUUGCAAAAGUAAAACUAAUACCCAAUGAUAUCUCUAAAAAACAUCUGAAAAAAAUUAAAGAUUUAUCGGUGAUGGAUGGGGAUGCGUCUGAUUAGCUUGUUGGCGGGGUAACGGCCCACCAAGGCAACGAUCAGUAGGGGUUCUGAGAGGAAGGUCCCCCACAUUGAAACUGAAACACGGUCCAAACUCCUACGGGAGGCAGCAGUGAGGAAUAUUGGUCAAUGGACGAGAGUCUGAACCACCCAAGUAGCGUGCAGGAAGACGGCCCUAUGGGUUGUAAACUGCUUUUAUAAGGAAAUAAAGUUAGUCUCGUGAGACUUUUUGCAUGUACCUUAUGAAUAAGGACCGGCUAAUUCCGUGCCA
rnacentral:rRNA from 1 species